UUCAGGCCUUCCCUCCUCAGAAGAAUCCUAAAAGGAACUUGAUUCAGGGAAAGACUUCAACUCAAAGGGGCUGGUAGGCCAUUUUAAAUGGAACAGAUGGAAGGCCAUCUUCAAAGGUACUGCCUACCUGAACCUGCCUUGUCCCAAAGGACACACUUCAAUCUGGGGAGAGUUUAAAGUUGUAGACAUAUCCAUUUUCAUUUAAGGAAUAUGAAGAUCAGGGAGGCAAAAUAUAGAGAUAUAGAGAGGAAAAACUGAGAGAUGAUCAGAAAUUCAGACGCAUUCGGAAUGAGCACCCUUGACCAUACCAAGAACAAAGACUCUAUAAAAAUGUGAAGUCUUAUUAUUGUUCAUCCAUGUUCUACGUGGGAUCCACCCAAGACAUUGAAAACUGUACAGAACAGGGUGAAAUUGAAUCAGAUCAUUCUGUACUCCUAACAAGGUCCACCCCAUGAGAGACUUGCAGCAGAAUUAAUGACACUGUAUAUUUUCCUCUACUAACAACAACAAGAACAACAACAACAACAAUCUAGGAAAAUCAAAGGCAGCCCGACAUGGAAAAAAACACAAAAUGAAUAUUUGGAUUACAAAUAGUGUGAUGGGAAGAACACACUGCCAAAAGUCCACCUAGUAUGUUGAAAUUACUGUUUCUAGCACAUAUAAGAUUUGCUGCCAAUUUGUACUGACUUCUGAAAAAUACUUUAUCCAUUGUCUUCUUACAUCAGAAUCAACUCCCUAAAUUCUUCAGCACUGGCUUUGUAAACUGGUUUCUGGUCUUUGUUUCUGUCAACUUACCUAUAAAAGGAUACAAAAACUGAAGAACAGAGAGGAGCAGAUACCCUGGAAAGCCGAAAGUUUUAUUGACCAAAGACUGAGUCUCGGAAUGUUUUGAUUGUGGAGUUUAUAGAGUUCAGGCUGAAGUUUUAUAAAAAUAACUUGCAGCAGCAUGGAGGACUGAUGAGAAAGUAGACAGAUGCUGGAAGCAGGAAAACUGAACAGCAGGUCACUGGCCAAGGAGAAUCAAAGAGCUAGAUGCUGAGAAUAAUGCAGCCAUAACGUGAAAUCUUUUUGAGACCACUCACUCUGGGAGAAAGCAACUGGCUAUGUCAUGAGGAAAUUGAAACCACCUAUGGAGAAAGGCCCACAUGAAUUCUGUAAGUCUGCUACGGUGACAUUUCUGGUUAGGAGUCAGAGUGGAUGGGACACUGAGCAAUAAGAAUGCAGAGACAUGAUGGCUGAAGCUGGAGCUUUUCCCUGAAGCAACCACCUGUUGGAAACUUCAUGUUGAAGAUGACUGAAUAAUAAGACAGAGGGGUCUGGGUCCCUGGUGGAUAUUCCAGAUCUGGGUGUUCGUGGAGAUAUGAGAAAGCAAUAAACUUCAAUUUUGCUUAAAUAGCUGUUACUUGGGGCAUUCUGUCAUUUAUGGACA
rnacentral:lncRNA from 10 species